AGCCGGAGCCGCCGGUUGGCUGAAAGGCGCUUUCUCUGUGGAGGCCGACCGCGGGAGGGAGGGGGCCGGGGACGGCUCCGCGGAGGGAUCUGACGCACACGAAGCCGCAGCACAGGCUCUAUUCAGCGGCGCUGGCUGGGGCUGAGAUGGAAGUUAGUUUCUAUGUAGCAGAAAUGGGAAACAAAUGAAGCAAAACUGCCCAAAGAGGGGAAAUGCCCCGAGGAUGGGUCUCACUCUCACGCGCGCACACAGACACACACGCAGAGAGCCCUCUCGCGCCGGGCAAACUCGGGAUCGCGCUACCCGGCCCGAGUUGAAUGAUAGUGUUUGGUUUCUGUCUCUUGCCAUGUGCAUGUGUAUAAAUGCUGCGGAUUGGCAUCUGUUGGUUGCCCUGGAGUUUGCAAUGUACAUUUACAAGUAAUCCAAGUCCACUUUCAAAAGACUACCACUUCAUGGGUAACCAGCAAAUCAGCAUUUAAGAGUAAAUUUUCUGCACGUCUGACAUCUAAGAAGUCUGCAUUAUGG